AGUGAACGCUGGCGGUAGGCCUAACACAUGCAAGUCGAACGGCAGCACAGUAAGAGCUUGCUCUUACGGGUGGCGAGUGGCGGACGGGUGAGGAAUACAUCGGAAUCUACUUUUUCGUGGGGGAUAACGUAGGGAAACUUACGCUAAUACCGCAUACGACCUACGUGUGAAAGCAGCGGAUCUUCGGACCUUGCGCGAUUGAAUGAGCCGAUGUCGGAUUAGCUAGUUGGCGGGGUAAAGGCCCACCAAGGCGACGAUCCGUAGCUGGUCUGAGAGGAUGAUCAGCCACACUGGAACUGAGACACGGUCCAGACUCCUACGGGAGGCAGCAGUGGGGAAUAUUGGACAAUGGGCGCAAGCCUGAUCCAGCCAUACCGCGUGGGUGAAGAAGGUCUUCGGGUUGUAAAGCCCUUUUGGUGGGAAAGAAAAGCAGCAGGUUAAUACCCCGCUGUUCUGACGGUACCAAAAGAAUAAGCACCGGCUAACUUCGUG
rnacentral:rRNA from 1 species